GCCUCCGUAGCUCAGUUCGGUAGAGCACCCGGCUGUUAACCGGGCGGUCGCAUGUUCGAUCCAUGCCGGGGGCG
rnacentral:tRNA from 1 species